CUCCAGAGGCAUCGGAAUGGGAUUAAAGAUUUAUCGGUGAUGGAUGGGGAUGCGUCUGAUUAGCUUGUUGGCGGGUAACGGCCCACCAAGGCAACGAUCAGUAGGGGUUCUGAGAGGAAGGUCCCCCACAUUGGAACUGAGACACGGUCCAAACUCCUACGGGAGGCAGCAGUGAGGAAUAUUGGUCAAUGGACGCAAGUCUGAACCAGCCAAGUAGCGUGCAGGAUGACGGCCCUAUGGGUUGUAAACUGCUUUUAUGCGGGGAUAAAGUGUGGGACGUGUCCCAUAUUGUAGGUACCGCAUGAAUAAGGACCAGCUAAUUCCGCG
rnacentral:rRNA from 1 species